GGCUUCUCUGGACUGCCUGACUCUGGGACUUCCAAGAUUGAUCGUCGGUUUUCCUCCCCGAGUGACCAGUACCCUGCACGCGCCAUUGCCGACGCAUCGUGCACUGUUCAUUCGUUUUGGUUUUCUGUUUCUGUGUUGUUCUGUUUCAGUAUUUUGUUGAGUUUGUUUUUAUGUUCUUUUGUUGACCCAAGUGAAGUGUUGAGCCUUUGGAUCGGAUGCAAUCUGGGGCAAGAGCUAUUUGAGAGUGGGGGGCGAUGUCACGACCGGUGAUAUCAUACGACCAAUACUCACGCGUAAGUGCUACCUGCGUAGUGGAGGCUGUUGUGUCCGUGGGUGAGCUGGGUGCUCAUGCCGUCAGGGCUUGAGAUGUCGAUGCUUGCGGUGGGUGUGACGUCCGGGUCACACCGAGGCUUGUGGUUUUGUAGUUUAGUUGUUAGUUAGUAGUUGUUAGUUAGUAGUUGCUAUUGGAUUUAGUGUCCAUAGAAAUGUCCUGUACCUUUCCUCCCUAGGAGGAUAGAGGGGUCUUCAAGUUCUGUUUACAAAACGCUCUCUCUGUUAGGAGAGAGUUUAUUGAGAAGUUAA